rnacentral:lncRNA from 1 species
GGUGUAAAGACAGUGUGAAAGGAUACAGGAAGACUUAAAGUCCGGGUUUAUGUUUUCUCUUUGCAGAAGAUGUAGAGGAGCUGAAUGCUGGAGAGUGAUUGAAGGAGUGAAGCUGAGCCCUGGAUGGAGGGAUCUGCUGGAGGAAAGGAGAGAGAGAGUCUGCAGUUCAAAGCGCCUUCCACUCUCCUGGCUACAAAGCAGCACCUUGUCACAUGGUAAAGACAGCGAGGCUUGGGAUGAAGUUCUUCACAGUCAAGGUGCCAUUAUGAAAGACCUUGCCUUGGCGUGGAAGCGAAUCAAAACAAGGGGAAAAUUAAAUGUGCCAGUCUCUUCCUCCUGAAACCAUCUCAGCUGCCUGGCUGGGCCUCAGCCAAGGACGUCUGGAUGUUAAACAAACCCUCUUAUAUUACUUUACUUUUAUUACUAUUCUAGUCUGAGUUUGAGUUAUCUUUUAAUUAUAUUUAUAUUUAAGAUUUGUAUCAUUAUCUUUACCAUUGUUGUUAAUGGAAGCUUUGUUAAUGGAAAAUGUGAGAAAUCUCCAAGUCAUCUCUAAAAAUUAUGCAUUUACAAAACACCCCACAUUCAGAUUAAAGCUGUCCAGUUGAAGUGAUCUUUGAUUCG